AAAACAAUUAUGCAUUUAUAUUUGUUUAAAUGGCCACUUAAUUGUUAACAGCUGUCAAUUCGUGGCCCGUUGAACGAUGUGGCCUACUAAUUGGCCAAUGACUAACGGCCUAACGGCUGUUUACUAAUCACAGCACAGAUUGCUCACCUGAUUGAAAUCCGCCUCGGCGCCAGCGGCCGGCCACGCCCUUAAAUUAGCUGCAUUUGAACGACUCCAGUGUCUCAUCAUAGAAUAGCAUCGGGAAGACCCCGUUCAGAGCUGGAUAUGUGUUCAGAAUGCUAUUGAGAAUAGAGCUGACUAUAAACCAAAAACUGGCGACUUGCCAUGUUAAAGCCGAAAAAAAUCAAAUUGAACAUAUCUGUAACACAAGAGAAUCCAUAAAUUCUUCAAUUUGCCAGCUAAAAAAUAUCUUUGUUUAUCCAGUCUUGUUAUGAAUAUAAAACGAAAGGAUUCCUUUAAUAACUUAUCAACUUUUGCUCAAUUCGCGUGCUUGUAUACUUUCGUGGCUGUACUUUUGUUUAUAGGUUAUAUUUUGUUAUAACAGUAAAAUAACGGUAAAAUGCUUAUCGAUAUUUUCGCCUCCAACACUGUGCCCGACUGUCUGGCAGCGUUGUCCAGUGUUGUAAGGACACAUAAGACCGCUCAUUUGAAACACAUUUUAAGUUACAACUUCUUUAAUUAAGCAUAUAUGAACUUCUGCUUAGACAAAAAAAAAAAAAAUACAUAUAUAGAUAUACAUAGAUUUUGUAAUUGUUUAAUAAUAACUGAUCCCCAAUGGUUUAAGUUUUA